rnacentral:lncRNA from 10 species
CCUCAGGCUUCCGGUCUGUUUGGUGCCCUGGUCGCGUGUCUUCCGAACUCUGCUGCUUCGCCCCGGCAAGAGCACUUCCUUCCGCGGCUGCUAAAACUGGUGCGCGGGUUCCCAACUUCGCAGAAGAGCUUCAUCGGCCCCCCGCUAGAGACCUCAGACCGCAGCCAUCGACGCCUCGCCUCGGGGAUCUGUCCCCACCCUCGGGGCCAGCUCACCAUGAGUCAGGCCCUGUGCUAGGUGCUGGGAUGAAGCAGUGACUGACACAGGCCUGGACCUGUCCUUGGGAAGAGUGCGUCUGUGACACAGAUACUGUGCCAUGUGGCAAAACUUGAAUGGAGACAUCAGCUCUUUGUGGGUCUCAAGUCUACUGGCUUUCAAUCAGCUCUUCUGCUUGACAGCUGCAGGUCUUGGGACUGCCCAGCCCCCAUAACCCUGUGAGUGCAUUCCUGAUAAUAACCCUCUUUCUCUUGUCCUCCCCCACCCCACAUCAUUGGUUCUGUUUCUCUGGAGAACCAUAAUACAUCAUUUACUAAUCAGGAAAUAGAUUCAGAGACAUUAAUAACUCAUCCAACCUCACAGUUAACUGUAGAGUUGGGCUUGAAAUUCCAAGGUCGAUUUUCUUAGCCAAUACACCAUGCUACAUAUAUGUAUGUAAAAAUAAAAACGCUUGUGAACUGAAAAGGG